CCCCGGUGCUGAGGGGCGAGGGUGGGAGGGCGCCUGCUGAGUGUGCUCCGCAUUGUCCGCGCCGCCCGGGGCCCAGCCCGCCUGCGAGGCGGGUGUUGCCUCCUGUUUCCUCCGCUUGGCAAGUGAGAGGAAAGGAGAGAAACAUCAAUGAUGGAAGAGAAUCAUUGAUUGGCUGCCGCCUGCAGGCCCCACACCUGGAUGGAGCCCACAGUCCGGCCACAGCCGGGAAUCAGCCGGUGACCUCCUGGUUCAAAAGUCCGUGCUCAGCUCCGGAGCCCGCCUGCCAGGUGGUAAUUCUUUCUUUAAAGGAUGCUUGUAGAUAGAGACUUGGAAUCCUUUAUCAGAGAAUGCUCCUGUUCCUUGGCCUCUGCCUGGGGUUAAGUGGGGCAGUGUGGAGGGGAGCUACACUGGGUUUGGCCAGUGCAAAACCCUGUUAAACAGACAGCAAGUCCCAAAUGGAAUCAUUUGCGCCAAGCCCAUGUCUCAAACUAAGACUUAAUACUUAACCUAAUUGCUGUUUCACUUUCUCCCUGGAAUGUAACCUUUAGCCAUUCUGCCCGGGGUUACCUGAUAGACCCCUUCCGUGUGGCUUAGGAGGGCUACCUUGUCUAAAACAAUGUUCUUAGCCAAUCAUUUCCUUUUCCCACCCCUUUCUACCUUUAAAACCAUUUCUUUUCUGCAGCUGGGCUGAGCUAUUUGCUGGAUGGGAUGCUGCCCAAGUCAUGAAUCAGUGAAUAAAGCCAAUUAGAUCUUUACAUUUA